rnacentral:rRNA from 2 species
UGAUUUAGCAUUUGAGUGAGUGGCGAACUGGUGAGUAACACGUGGGAAACCUGCCCAGAAGCGGGGGAUAACACCUGGAAACAGAUGCUAAUACCGCAUAACAACUUGGACCGCAUGGUCCGAGUUUGAAAGAUGGCUUCGGCUAUCACUUUUGGAUGGUCCCGCGGCGUAUUAGCUAGAUGGUGGGGUAACGGCUCACCAUGGCAAUGAUACGUAGCCGACCUGAGAGGGUAAUCGGCCACAUUGGGACUGAGACACGGCCCAAACUCCUACGGGAGGCAGCAGUAGGGAAUCUUCCACAAUGGACGAAAGUCUGAUGGAGCAACGCCGCGUGAGUGAAGAAGGGUUUCGGCUCGUAAAACUCUGUUGUUAAAGAAGAACAUAUCUGAGAGUAACUGUUCAGAUAUUGACGGUAUUUAACCAGAAAGCCACGGCUAACUACGUGCCAGCAGCCGCGGUAAUACGUAGGUGGCAAGCGUUGUCCGGAUUUAUUGGGCGUAAAGCGAGCGCAGGCGGUUUUUUAAGUCUGAUGUGAAAGCCU